rnacentral:rRNA from 1 species
CAGCAGCCGCGGUAAAACGGAGGGGGCUAGCGUUGUUCGGAAUUACUGGGCGUAAAGCGCACGUAGGCGGUUUUGUAAGUCAGAGGUGAAAGCCCGGAGCUCAACUCCGGAACUGCCUUUGAGACUGCAUCACUUGAACGUCGGAGAGGUGAGUGGAAUUCCGAGUGUAGAGGUGAAAUUCGUAGAUAUUCGGAAGAACACCAGUGGCGAAGGCGGCUCACUGGACGGCUGUUGACGCUGAGGUGCGAAAGCGUGGGGAGCAAACAGGAUUAGAUACCCCCGUAGUCCCUGUCUCUUAUAC